GAUGAACGCUGGCGGUAUGCCUAACACAUGCAAGUCGUACGAGAGUUUUUGACUCUAGUGGCGGACGGGUGAGUAACACGUGAGAAUUUACCUUUAGGAGGGGGAUAACAAUUGGAAACGAAUGCUAAUACCCCAUAUGCUUUUGAGUGAAAUGGAUUUAUAUUUAUCCGCCUAGAGAGAAGCUCGCGGCUGAUUAGCUUGUUGGUAAGGUAAGAGCUUACCAAGGCGACGAUCAGUAUCUGGUUUGAGAGGACGAUCAGACACACUGGAACUGAGACACGGUCCAGACUCCUACGGGAGGCAGCAGUGGGGAAUUUUCCGCAAUGGGCGAAAGCCUGACGGAGCAAUACCGCGUGAGGGAAGACUGCCUAUGGGUUGUAAACCUCUUUUUUCAGGGAGGAAUAAAAUGACGUUAC
rnacentral:rRNA from 1 species